rnacentral:rRNA from 1 species
AGAGUUUGAUCCUGGCUCAGAACGAACGCUGGCGGCAGGCCUAAUACAUGCAAGUCGAGCGCGCCCUUCGGGGUGAGCGGCGGACGGGUUAGUAACGCGUGGGAACGUGCCCUUCUCUAAGGAAUAGCCACUGGAAACGGUGAGUAAUACCUUAUACGCCCCCCAAUCAAAUUCCAUUUGGUUGACGGAAAUUCUGUUGAAUGCCGGAUGGCAUUUGAUGGGGGGGAAAGAUUUAUCGGAGAAGGAUCGGCCCGCGUUAGAUUAGAUAGUUGGUGGGGUAAUGGCCUACCAAGUCUACGAUCUAUAGCUGGUUUUAGAGGAUGAUCAGCAACACUGGGACUGAGACACGGCCCAGACUCCUACGGGAGGCAGCAGUAGGGAAUCUUGGACAAUGGGCGCAAGCCUGAUCCAGCCAUGCCGCGUGAGUGAAGAAGGCCUUAGGGUCGUAAAGCUCUUUCGCCUGUGAUGAUAAUGACAGUAGCAGGUAAAGAAACCCCGGCUAACUCCGUGCCAGCAGCCGCGGUAAUACGGAGGGGGUUAGCGUUGUUCGGAAUUACUGGGCGUAAAGCGCGCGUAGGCGGAUUGGAAAGUUAGAGGUGAAAUCCCGGGGCUCAACCCCGGAACGGCCUUUAAAACUCCCAGUCUAGAGUUCGAGAGAGGUGAGUGGAAUUCCAAGUGUAGAGGUGAAAUUCGUAGAUAUUUUGGAGGAACACCAGUGGCGAAAGCGGCUCACUGGCUCGAUACUGACGCUGAGUGCGAAAGUGUGGGGAGCAAACAGGAUUAGAUACCCUGGUAGUCCACACCGUAAACGAUGAAUGCCAGUCGUCGGAUAGUAUACUAUUCGGUGACACACCUAACGGAUUAAGCAUUCCGCCUGGGGAGUACGUCGCAGAUUAAAACUCAAAGGAAUGACGA